GAUGAACGCUGGCGGCGUGCCUAAUACAUGCAAGUCGAGCGAACAGACGAGGAGCUUGCUCCUCUGACGUUAGCGGCGGACGGGUGAGUAACACGUGGAUAACCUACCUAUAAGACUGGGAUAACUUCGGGAAACCGGAGCUAAUACCGGAUAAUAUAUUGAACCAUGGUUCAAUAGUGAAAGACGGUUUUGCUGUCACUUAUAGAUGGAUCCGCGCCGCAUUAGCUAGUUGGUAAGGUAACGGCUUACCAAGGCAACGAUGCGUAGCCGACCUGAGAGGGUGAUCGGCCACACUGGAACUGAGACACGGUCCAGACUCCUACGGGAGGCAGCAGUAGGGAAUCUUCCGCAAUGGGCGAAAGCCUGACGGAGCAACGCCGCGUGAGUGAUGAAGGUCUUCGGAUCGUAAAACUCUGUUAUUAGGGAAGAACAAAUGUGUAAGUAACUAUGCACGUCUUGACGGUACCUAAUCAGAAAGCCACGGCUAACUACGUG
rnacentral:rRNA from 1 species